CAGGGAUUGCCUCAGUAACGGCGAGUGAAGCGGCAACAGCUCAAAUUUGAAAUCUGACCCCUUCGGGGCCCGAGUUGUAAUUUGUAGAGGGUGUUUCGGGCGCGGCGCCGGUUUAAGUUCCUUGGAACAGGACGUCACAGAGGGUGAGAAUCCCGUACGUGACCGGCGAUCAAGCCCAUGUGAAGCCCCUUCGACGAGUCGAGUUGUUUGGGAAUGCAGCUCAAAAUGGGUGGUAAAUUUCAUCUAAAGCUAAAUAUUGGCCAGAGACCGAUAGCGGACAAGUAGAGUGAUCGAAAGAUGAAAAGCACUUUGGAAAGAGAGUCAAACAGUACGUGAAAUUGUUGAAAGGGAAGCGCUUGCAAUCAGACCGGUCCGGGGGCGAUCAGCCGCUGCUCGUCAGCGGUGCACUCGCCCUCGAUCCGGCCAGCAUCGGUUUGGGCGGCGGGAGAAAAGGCCCGGGAAUGUAGCUUCCUUCGGGGAGUCUUAUAGCCCGGGUCGGCAUGCCGCCCGCCUGGACCGAGGACCGCGCUUCGGCUAGGAUGCUGGCGUAAUGGUUGCAAGCGACCCGUCUUGAAACACGGACCAAGGAGUCUAACAUCUAUGCGAGUGUUUGGGUGUCAAACCCGGGCGCGGAAUGAAAGUGAACGGAGGUGGGAACCCGUCAGACGGCGCACCAUCGACCGAUCCAGAUGUCUUCGGAUGGAUUUGAGUACGAGCAUAGCUGUUGGGACCCGAAAGAUGGUGAACUAUGCCCGGAUAGGGUGAAGCCAGAGGAAACUCUGGUGGAGGCUCGCAGCGGUUCUGACGUGCAAAUCGAUCGUCAAAUCUAGGCAUA
rnacentral:rRNA from 1 species